rnacentral:tRNA from 1 species
UUGUUGGUGGUUCAGUGGUAGAAUAUUCACCUUCCAUGUGAGAGACCCGGGUUCGAUUCUUGGCCAAUGAG